rnacentral:lncRNA from 1 species
AAUUAAGUUUAUAUAGGUAUAAAAAAAUAGAAAAGAAUAGUGCAAUCAUGAAAAAAUAAACUUUAAUAUUUAACCUUCUAAUCUGUGCAGGUACUUUGCUGAAUAAACAAUUUUAUUUCUAGAAAAGUCUUAGGUGAGUCUUUUAGGAGAAAAUUUACAUAAAUAAUACAGCAUUUGAAAUAUCAAGUAUGAAUUAUUUAUUGUAGACCAGCAUAAAGCUAAAUAGGAUUAGUUUUAAAUGAAUUUAGAUUUGCUAACAGAUGGCUACAACCAUUUUUCCAUUCAUACUUAACUGCAUUUACAAAAUGAAUUUUCAGGUACAGACAAUAUAAAUUCUGAAUUAUUCCAUUAAUACCUACUGGUUUAGCUAGUAGUCAAGUCAUACAUAUGUUAAGAGGUUAAGGGGUUAUUUUCUCUUGAUAACAGGUAAAUAAAUAAGCUAGUAUGUGCACACUUAUAUACAUUCAAGGUUAAGUCCUUUUUAAUUUUUUCAAACAACACAGAGACCUGUAGUGCAAUGUGCAUAAUGACAAAUAACAUUCACUAUGACCUAAGGCAAAGUUUCUCCCAUAAGAGAAAGAUAACUUAGACUGAACUCUGUCAUUCAGAUAAGAACAAUACAAACGGCUACCGUUAGUAUCUAUGGAGUAUUUACAUGGAGUAAGACACUACAUUAAAUGAUUUAUAUCUAACUGAUCUCAUUGAAUCCUCACAAAUCUUGAAAGCAAAUGAUACUAGACUUGUUUUACAGAUAAGGAAACCAGCUUGGGACAGUAAAGUGAUUGGCACAAUGUCACUAGGAAGUCACUAUGGUAUCAAACUCAGAUCCAGCUGAAUCCACGGUUUAGGCUCUUAACAAAGUCUUGAUUCUUUGCCAUAAAAAAUAAAAUGUUGGCCGGGCGCGAUACAUCUCUUAAGAGUUCAGGAUUACAAUCUGAUAGCUACUAAAUACCCAGUAUGCCCAGAAAUUUCAUCUUCUCAAACCCAUGUUUUUUGAGAGCAAACAUGCUCUUUAUGCCAUAUCAUGAACAAAAUAGAAUCAACGAUUCUUAUAUUUACAUGGUCAAAUUUUUGUCCAAUUACAUAUAACAAAAGUCUUAAAAAGAAUAGUGUGAGCUAUUUUUAAAUACAUCAUUAAAAUUAAUGUAUUCACAUGAAAAAAAUUCUACCUACUAGAUCUAAAUAUUUCAGCAUUAUUGAUAAUUAUUACAAAUAAACAAAAAAUUAAAAUAAACUACUGAAAUUUUAGUCCUAGAAAAUUUCUGAAAUGUAAUACUCAAAAUCACAAACAAGCAUGACAUACAAUAAGAUAUAUGAAUCAUUGUCAAAGAGGUGGUGAAUGGUUUCAUCUGGAUUUUAACUUAAUAUAGUACAACUUGUAAAGAUUUACAAAGGUUUUUAAGCAUAUUUCUGUCUUACUAGGCAUAUAUUAGAAACAAUAUAAUAUAAAUAAAUGCCUAGUAAGAUGAAUAAAAUCUCAGCCUCUUAUAAAAUAAUGCCUUGAGCUGGGCGCAGUGGCUCACGCCUGUAAUCCCAGCACUUUGGGAGACCAAGGCAGACGGAUCACGAGGUCAGGAGUUUGAUACCAGCCUGACCAACAUGGUGAAACCCCACCUCUAGUAAAAAUACAAAAAUUAGCUGGGCAUGGUGGUGCAUGCCUGUAAUCCCAGCUACUCAGGAGGCUGAGGCAGGAGAAUCGCUUGAACCCAGGAGGCGGAGGUUGCAGUAAGCUGAGAUGGCACCACCACACUCCAGCCUGAGCGACAGAGUGGGACUCUGUCUCAAAAAAAAAAAAAAAAAAAAAAAAAGUCUCAUGGUUCUGUGCAUUAGAAAAAUAACAGUUAUACUACUUUUGUGAUUUAAAAUAUAUUAUAUUUCAAGCAAAAAAAAAGUUAUGAAAUGAAACACUUCCUUAUCUGAUGCCUUUACCUCAAUUCCAAGCUUUAUCUUGAAAUCCUGAAAUUCUCAUGGGUUCCCCCCAACCCCCCCAAACAGUCUAUUAUUCUGAUUUGCUAUACUGUUCAUCCUGUCUGCGGCAUGACUUAAAAUUCUUCUGGACUUUAGGUUCAGACUCUGUAUUGUUAGAAUAUUAGUUAAAAUUUUAAUAUAAAUUUCCCACACCAAAUGAGAAAAUCUAAACAAGCAAUUAUUCAGAAGUGACUUUCUAGAUUAAGAAAAAAUGUGAAUGAGCAUGUUUUAAACAGCACAGUUGCUUAAAUUUAGGCAACUGAAAUGAUUUAACAAAUACUUGCCCACGUAUGUACAACAGUCUAAUAUGUAGUUUCUCUAAUAAUCAAUAUACUAUAUUUUUGUCUAUACGAGGUCACUGUAUAGUGCUUCAUAAUCUUGCUAUUUAAACAAGUUAAACUUAGCAUAAAGACUAAAAGCAUAGGCUCUGAAGACAGACUUUCUACACUGAAUCUCAGUUCAGCAUCUCCUGACUGUGUAACCUCGUAAGGGUUAAUUGUUCUUAGCUUCUUUAGUUUAUAUAAUCAAUAGAUGAGGAUCAAAUCAGGGGAAUAAAAUUAGCUGUUUCUACAUGUGCUACCUAAAAAUCAAUCUGACUCAGUUUUAUCUCACUGAAUUAUAGAAACUGAUGAUGAGCUUAGUAUAAAUCUCUUACCAUACAAAAAUUAGUGGUGUACUCAUUCUGACUAAUACAAGCACGUAUAGUCUUUUACAGCACACAUAACCACAGCUAAAAUUCAUCUGCUCCUCCUACACUGACUAUGCAGCGGUUUCCAAAAUAUUUCAUAACAAACUUCUCAGAUACACAGGAAGGCAUUUAAUGCUUACUUGUGUGUUACCUGAGCAAAUUUGUGUUCUACUGGAACAUUUUAAAAUUAAAGACUAGAAGGGUUUUAAAGUAUUUUAUUAUCCUAUGAUUAUUUUAAUCUUCGUUGUGCUUUUCAGAAGCUCGAAAGCUUAUAAUCACCACUAGUCUAUCAACACCCAAAAAGGCAAAGACUAGUUAUAAAUGCUUCCUAGGAUUGGGAGAUGUUACUACUUAUUUCCAGUCUAUGAACGAUUAGAUGAGCAAAGAUAUCUGAAAGCAAAUUAUCGUCUGAAUGCAGUAAUAUGGAAAAGAAGGAAUUACAGAUGUAAUUUAUCCAUCACAAGCAGAUCCUAAACACUGAUUAUGUCUGUAUUUUUGCAGAAAAUUGAAAAUGAUAGAAAAGCUUCCUAGCUUUUCUGACUUUAAUUUUCCAUGUUUUACUUUGUGUAAUUUACUGUCAGCUAUUAACAGCAGAUGCUUCUUGCCUUAUUUGAGAACAGCCUGGACUUAAGUAUAAGUGAUUCUGAGAUCCAGAAGCCUACGCACUAGGUCUGAUUUUUAUGCAGAGAGAUAAAUUCUAACUUAAGAUACUGUACUCAUAUGAGGUCUGGAGAAAACAGGGUCUUGGAUCUCAACCUCAUAUUAACAUAAACUAAAAUAUAAAUAUAGCUUAAUAAAUCUAGACAGCUUCAGAACAAUUUUGCUGGGCCUAAAAUUGUGAUCUAGGGUUAAAAUACAGGUCGUUACCAACUGACCCAUGAUGAUUCAGGGACAGCUGCCACAGUCUGGUGGCCUGUGGCUAUGUGAAGUCUUUUACUGGGGAUUCCCUCUAGUUCUUUUAUUCCCACUUGUGAUGUCAUAAUUAAUAGUGUGAGAGAGAGGGAAGGGGAAAAAGGAAAGAUAAACCACCAGAGCCAUUUCUUUCUCUCUUCCUCAAGUAUCUCUUUCACUGACCCUGCAAUUGCUGUCGAGAAACUUCCCCCUCCUAACCAUUGCCGCCACCACCUAAUAUACUAGUCUCCCUGUUAGUAACCGGCUCCUUGAGGACUGUAUUGUUAACAUCUGCCUCCCUAAAGUUUGACAUAGGAAGUACAUAAGUUAUAUUACUUAAAUUGUUGAAUCCUUAUCACCUCCUAAUGGUUUUCUUCCUCACAUCUGAGUUUUUACAACCGGUCUCUUGACCAUAUCCUAUGAUAAAAUGCCAAAAAAAAAAACAAAACAAAACAAAAAUUGAGUUUGAUACUUUUAUGAUCUACCUGUUUCCCCAUGGCUACUAGUAUUUAGAAAACAACAGCAACAACCACACAGCUGAAAAUUUCAGAGAGGGGGAAGAAUGGGGAGAAGCUGUUCAUUAAGCUCUGCAGUAGACAGGGCCCAGGAUCAAUGAGCACUACAUUCAAAAAACAGGCAGGCUGAGUCCUUAGAAACAUGGGGGUCACUUGGAAGACAUAUUGACGACACCUUCCCACCCUAAAGGUUACACAGGUGGGAAGCUUUGGACUCCAGCUCCUCACUGCAUACCCUGUCUUUAGAUCCUGCUGAUUCUAAGCAAAUGCCCUAUUAAAGACUAGCUUCAGGAAACAGAAGCAGCCCAAAGUUAAAGCUGGGGAAAACUACACUGGCUCACAGCAUGAGUUCCAGGACUUUGGGAAAGGCCACCUCCCCUGCACUAGGCAAGCUGAAUUUCUGGAACCCUAAACUGAAAUUUAAAAUACAUCUUUGCCACAGAAAUAGUUUGACAAAAGCAGCUGGGGUCUGUGACUCUAGGAGUUCUCAAGAUUUAUGAUAAGAUAACACUUCUAUGGAGCCUCUUGGGUUUAAUUAAUAACCAGGGUUUCCAAGGUACUGUUUGUACUGAACUAUAACUCAAGCAUCCUCUGGGCUACUUUGGCUUCUCAGGGUUGACCCGAUGACUUAAUCACCUUGCUUCUGUGGAAAAACAUUUUCUAAACAAUUAAACCUUUUGAAUAUGGCUUUUUAUGCACUGGGGAGGCAGCUAUAUAGUUUAUACAGUGACUAGUUAUCUAAGAUGAUUCAUUUAAAAUUUUUCCUAUAUGGCCAUAUAUUUUACAACAGAUACAACAUCUUUGAAAGUUGGUGGCAGCAUUCUUUCUGCUAUUUUGGGUUCACUCCUUGACUCAUUUGUUGACUUAAAAUACAGUGAUUACUUCUGAGUACUUACUGUUUUAGGCCCUGUACUAUAAAUUUGUCUUGGAUAUUCAUUUUUAUUCUUAAGUACUGCUGUUAGUUAUAUUUUCUUUGUCGAAUCCUUAGAAUAUGCAUAUGGAAAUUAAGAAGCAAUGUUUUCCAGCAAACAUAACAAAACAAUUAAGAGUACAGGCUGUGAAAUCAGAUUACGAGGCUCCAAGUCCACAUUUUACUGGCUGACUGACCUUGCAUGUAUUACCUAACUUCUCUGUAUUUCAGUGUGUCCAUCUGUGAAAUGGAAGUAACACCAGUAACUAUCUCGAUGAGAUUUUAUAGGGACAAAAUACUAUGAAAAAAAUGAAAAGCACUGAAAACACUGAUUGACAUACAUUAAGUUUCAAUAAAUAUUAACUCACCUUGUUAUUUUACUCCAUACGGAAAAAAUAAGAAAGUGUAUUUGUGGAAGCAGCAGAAAUACAAAUCAAAGUGCAGAUUCUUUUGUCAUAUAAAAUCACUUGGGACCUGUUUUUAAUGACAUGGCAUUUCUGCUAUAUUCCAGUUAUAAAAAUGUGACUGUUUAUAUAAAUAUGAAUAGUAGGCUGGGCGCGGUGACUCACGCCUGUAAUCCCAGCACUUUGGAAGGCCAAGGCGGGCUGAUCACCUGAGGUCAAGAGUUCAAGCCAGCCUGGCCAACACGGUGAAACCCUGUCUCUACUAAAAAUGCAAAAAUUAGCUGGGCAUGGUGAUACACGCCUGUAGGACCAGCUACUCGGGAGGUUGAGGCAGGAGAAUUGCUUGAACGUGGGAGGCGAAGGUUACAAUGAGCCGAGAUCACACCACUGCACUCAAGCCUGGACAACAGAGUAAGACUCUGUCUCAAAUAAAUAAAUAAAUAAGUACAGUUAUAAGAAGAUAAAAAAUGAAGCUGUUUUAGUUUUCUCUAUAAGGAAAAAUAAAUCCAUUUGUGAUAUGCCAGGUUUUAUUUACUAAAUAAGCAAGACAGAAGUGAUGACAAGUUUGUCAAGAUGAGAAGACUUCAGUUUCUCUUCAAAAGUGGUAUCUCUUCAACCACCUCCCUUACCCAGAUGCUUUCCAGAGAGAUUUACUUAAUUCUGAAAGUUUUAUGAGAGGAAAAAUAAACACUCUUUUAUUCCAGAAAUGGCCCUCCUGAACAUCCAUUUCCAUUCUCCCCUUCUGUCUUACCUACCAGACUCCUGAUUUCAAUCAAGGCAACAGUUUUUUAAAAUAAUAAUAAAUAAAAACAAAACAAAACAAACAAACAUACAAAAAAAUACUUCCUAGCAAUCCCUGCUACCAAAAUCAGUCAAUAAGAGACUGAAAAAUUACUGGCUGAAGCUCAGAGAACCUUUGCUUAAAAGGAGCCUGGCUGGGCUGAGUUAUGGUGUCUUGCCUUUUCUGCGUCCUGCUAGACUAAGGAUAUGAUGGCUGGCACUGCAGUGGCCACAUUGCAAUUUUGAAAUAAUCCUAAAGUUGGAAGCCAUGUGCUCCUUAGGAACUAAGAGAGAAGGAACCUGAGUUCCAAUGACUAUAGAGUCGCCAAAUAGACCUAGACGACUGAAAUAUAAACCCCUAAUUUGUUUAUACCAAAUGCUGGGGAGGGUAGGGGAGGUGUCUCUGUUAUGCAAAGCUGAAUCUAAUUCUUCACAGACAAAAUGUCUAAAUCACUUCUGUGUGACUAUGGAAAGACAUAUUUAAGAUCGGAACCAAUAGUUCUAAAGAUGGACAAUUAGAAAGCUGGAAAGAACUCAGAGAUAACAAAAGAAGAAAUGUAAUGGUCAGAGAUGGCCAAGGCCCUCAGGAAUCCAGAGGACAAACAGCCUGUCAACCAAAUUAGAAGAUAUCAGGGGUUAUACUGUUUAGUAAUUAUCAGUAAUUUUCAAAACACAAGCUCAUAGCAUAGAAAGUUUUAUCGCUAGCAAAAAAAUCAAACUUUAUCUCAAAGUGAAAAUAUUUCAAACAUGUGCCAAAAAUGUAGGGAUGAUGCUGUAGGUAGAUGUGCAUUUGAUGAUAUUUGUAUAAGAAACAGUAUUAAAUAAAAACUCUGUAGUUGCUGUUAGUAUAAGUGAGCAAUUAGCAUAAGUCCUCACUAGAAUCAAGCUUGUUUACAGUAAAAUUCACAAAGAAAUUACUAUCCUAAUAAUCUAUUAUACUUCAAACAACUCAGAAUUUCUAUCAAGCCUUUCCAGUUGCUUUUACUUAAGUUGCUACAUGCUAAUAACUAUCAUCAGUGCUAAAUCAAAGGCCAUCUAUCUAUCUAUCUAGUUACCCACUUCUACUGGCAGUCAUGAUUUUUGGCCUAGCUGUUAACAUGGAAAAUUGCUCACCUAUCUAAAAGCACAGGAUGUAGUACUGCUAAGUUUAAAAAAAAAAAAAAAAUUCAAAUUUCCUCAAUAGGACCUCUUUGUAAGAAAAUAAGAAGCUUUGUCUAAGUCUGUGGGAAGGCAGAGACAUUGCUCAGCAUGAAAGGUAACGGAUUAGCAAUGUUGAUAGCUGAAAUCCUCUACUUAUCCUUGGCAAGGAAAAUGACAAGAUAAGCUUCCCAAACUAGGUCCCUAGGUGUCUGUGCUAGGUCUGAGAAACAUUCCAUUUCUCACCUUUCACCUGAACUGGGCAUGUGUCAUACAGUUCUUCAAAAGACAAUUCACCCCACACUGCAUUGUCUCUUUUAAGUGAGAAACAGCCUUAUAUAUGCAAUUGUUUCAAGGGUACUCCGUGGAAUUUUGAUUAGCUUCAGACAUCUGAAUUACAAUGAAACUGAAUUCAGCUGUAAGUGCCACAUUGCUUGAGGUCUAAAUUGUUUUUAGUUUGUCACACUCACACAGUGAAGCAAGAUUUCAUGAGAAAAAAAGUAGACGCAGUGUACCAAAAUCUUAUAAUAUGAAGCAAAAUAAAUAGUUCUAGAAUUACUGCAGCAGGUAGCUUGAUUCGAAACAUGGUUUACAAUUUAUCUAAUAGUCUAAAAAAACCUUUACUCAUAAAAAAAAGUUUUCUAAAAAAGUUCUAAUAUAAACAGGCAAAUGAAUACAAUUACUAGUUUCACCAAAGCAACUGCAGCUAUUGAGAAUUUCAUUAAAGAAAGGUUUAUGUCAGAGUUGAUGACACUGCAGCAUAUUCACAGGAUAUUCUUUACAAAGUUGUGAAGUUUCUCCUUAGGGACCUUUUAUAUGAAACAUACUGCUGCGCAGGUUAUGCCUUAUAGUUAGUUCAUCUCCUAAGUUAUUAGGAGAAAACAAGGAAGUGAUAUGUCAAUCUGUCACUGAAAGACACAUUGAAUAUAUGUGCCAGCACAGUAUAUAUAAUAAUCUGUCAAAGUUUUAAUACAUGGGAG